GACGAACGCUGCCGGCGUGCUUAACACAUGCAAGUCGAACGGAAAGGCCCUGCUUUUGUGGGGUGCUCGAGUGGCGAACGGGUGAGUAACACGUGAGUAACCUGCCCUUGACUUUGGGAUAACUUCAGGAAACUGGGGCUAAUACCGGAUAGGGGCUCCUGCUGCAUGGUGGGGGUUGGAAAGUUUCGGCGGUUGGGAUGGACUCGCGGCUUAUCAGCCUGUUGGUGGGGUAGUGGCUUACCAAGGCUUUGACGGGUAGCCGGCCUGAGAGGGUGACCGGCCACAUUGGGACUGAGAUACGGCCCAGACUCCUACGGGAGGCAGCAGUGGGGAAUAUUGCACAAUGGGCGGAAGCCUGAUGCAGCAACGCCGCGUGCGGGAUGACGGCCUUCGGGUUGUAAACCGCUUUCGCCUGUGACGAAGCGUGAGUGACGGUAAUGGGUAAAGAAGCACCGGCUAACUACGUG
rnacentral:rRNA from 1 species